CCCAGCCCGAGCAAGACGGCCCUGGCCAGCAGAGCCCUCUGGUUGGGGGGACCCCCUUCUUCCAGAUGAGCGGCGGAUCCCCGCAAAACGCGUGGGAAUGGGGGGGUGCCGAACAGAGUAUUAUCUGAUGGGGUUUGAAAUGUUCUCUUGCAGGCAAAUUACCUCCCUGCAGCCUCUCCCAGAGCCUCCAGCAGCACCAUUACGCUUCGGGCCUUUUUGGUCUUGGAGGUGUUGAAGGUUCCCAGAAUCUCCUAGGAAAUUGCCAACACCCCUGGGAAAGGGAGUCCCGAAACCUAAAAUAGUGCUUUGACUUAGGUGCCAGGCUGAUCCAGGCUGGCAUCCAGACAGCGGCCGACUGCUACUUACGGUCUCUGUGACCUUGCACUUCAGCUCUCUGAGACUUUGCUUCCCUCCUCCAUAAAAUGGAGAACAGAGACCAAAAAGGGGCGUUGCCAAUUAGACGGAUGGAUCUGAUUCAUUAAUUUAUCCACCCAGAAGAGAAAAACUUGGUAACCCUCAGCGUGUGCCCGACACAGCACUAUGCUAAGGUCUGGGGAGGAGAUGGAGGGUAAAAAGAUGUGUCGCUUCCUCUUGGCUGGCAGCGUUUCUGGGGGCAUAGAAGAUGCCGGAAGGAGGGGCCAGGGAAGUGGUCAACCCCAAGCAGCUUAUCACAGUCUCUUUCUAUGGCCACCUGCUGGGUGGGGCACUUCACUCUGAACUCAGCAAUGCUGGAGCCUGAAGCGCCACGGGCCGUGUUCUGCCCUGAGCCACUGCCCUCCCCAGCCUGCGGAGCAAGCAAGGCG